CCCGCGAGAGGAAGAGCGUAACCACGUCCACGAGGUUCUAAAAAAAGGUCUCUGAACUGAUUUCCGCAUUGGUGGUUGUACAGAAAGUUUUAUACAACGUUUGGUCGAAUUUGUCGCAUGUUUUCAUGGCCGAUAUAGCUGCAGAGAAUUUACUUCUUUGGAGGUCAAACAAAUACUGGCUCACGUGGAGCCGUCAGCCAAUUGGACCAGAACCUGGACUGUGUGGGCCAGUCGACUCAGGUUGUCUUCCUCCAUGAUGAGUUGGGGUGAACACAAGGACUCCUGAGCGAGGAGGAAAUGAUCAGCGUGCCUGGUCGGCGCCGCUCCUCCGUGGUGGGGCUGGAGGGUGAGGGUGACGAGGGCAGGGAGACCUCCACAUGAACAGCGGCUCUGCAUUAAAGAGAGAGAACUAGUUUUUUAAAUAUAUAAAUAAAAAUAAAUGGAUUAUAAAACUUUUGUUAAUAUUUUUUUGUAAGGGCGUAAACUUGCAAAAUCGAAAAAAAUGUUUAUUUUUAAACCUCUAGUACAUUCAGGGGCACUGGUACCCCCAGUAGAAAGCCACUG